rnacentral:rRNA from 1 species
AUGGAUGUGCUUCACCUAGAGGAAAUAUCACUGAAACACAUAAGGAAGCGGUGGACAAGAGAUGCAAGGGACAUACUUCCUGAGCACCUAUGGCACUACCAGAAGGACAAUGCGGUAAACAUGUCUUUCAAUUGCAGGCAUUCGACUUUGUACGCGCAAGCUAUGAAAGUUGUGCGGCUGGGGGAUGCCGGCGCUGAAUCGUUCCACCACAUGCCAGCUGGUCUGAAAGCCUUGAUUGCUAGUGGGGUGCCUUUCGCAAAGAAGAGGGACAUUUUAGGUUUCGAGGACUGUCUGUUGAUCUUGCCCGGCGGAAGGUUGCCAGGCAACGGGGAUGUUGAAAAAUUUGGGGGCGACGACGGUCGUUGCCAUGAAGAUGGUGCAGGAUGA